AUGAAGAUGAAACUGAACGCAUAAAGACCCACAAACAAAAAGCAACUGAAGGAAGCUGCAGUAAAGGCCCAGCAAAGCAUCUCAAGGGAGGAGAAAAAUAAGAAAUCAGUACAGGUUCCAAUUUUCAAGUACUUUUUGACUGCAAUGAACUCAAAGUAUUAACAGCAAUCCUUAUAAUGUAAGUCUGUCCAAUGAGCUUUGGCCUCUGAAAAUGGAGGAACUGGGUAUAAAAAUGUCUUUAAUUCCUAAAUGGUUAAUGUGAUAUUUUUCUUAAAAGUCUACACUUCAAUCACCUCAUGAUCGUUUCAUCUCGGCUCCACUGUGGUGGUGCAAAGACACAAAAUUACAAAAUAUGUUGUCAGUCCAAAUGAUUAUGAUCCAACUAACUGUACCUGUGACCUUUGACACAGUAAAGAAACCAGGUCAGACACAAGCUGACCGUUUGUGGUUGAGUUUUUCAAUUAAAUUGGUUUCCUAGAAAAAAAAAUGCUUCUGUUAAUAGACCUGGUAUUUUUUUUUUCUGCCACCAUACAGUAAGUACCCUCACUGGCCACUUUAUUAGGUACACCUUGCCAGUAUCCAGUUGGACU